AACUUAUCAACCGUGACUUGGGUUUAGGCCCCUGGCUCGGCUUGGAUUUGGGUGCUUGCGGUCCGCCGCUCACCUCAAAAGGAUUAGCUGGACAUGUCGUGAGACUUGGUUCUACUUGGCGUAAUAAGUAUUUCGCUGAGGACAUCCCCUCGUGGGGUGGCCAUGACUCUGGUACAAACGUCUGCUUUCUAACCCGAUCGUCCUCGGACAUCACUUUUUAUGAU
rnacentral:misc_RNA from 1 species